rnacentral:rRNA from 1 species
AUCCACGCUCUAGAUAGGGGAGGCCACUGGUACAGGUGACGCACAGUUCUCAACCUCACGGAGUUCGAGUGGGUGGGACGUUGAGAGAGCGGAGAGCCGUAACGGUGAUGACAGCUGGGGAGUCCUAGGGAAGAUGCAACUAAUGACUUACGUAGUAAGAAGGUCAAAGAGGUGGGGGACCUGACUCUGUACGUAGAUUUAAACUUAGAACAAGAUGUCAAUAACGGCAACACAACAAUAGGACAGAAUCUUCACAACGAAGACUAACCACUACGAACCUGAUCGUCAAUAGGGAACACACGACUGUACGUGAACCUACCAACAUUGUCAAUAGAUAGGGAACAAUCGACUCUAAGUGAAUCUAUAGGGUACAUGAAGACCUCCCGGAGAAACAGUUCUGACUCGCUUAUCAACUUAUAUGCGAGUGAAACUUCUACUCUUGACACUUCAGACUUCUUCAACGAUCGCGGUUGGUUAAGUCUGAGUGUUGAUACUUCUAUUUCCGGGUUGUAGAAAGGGGAGGUCACUGGAGCGGAGGUGGACGACGAACAGUUCAACUCACCUCACGGAGCUAGAGUGAACGUGAAGUCGAGAGAGACAGCGGAACUAGCUAACGACGUACGUAACGAGAAGGCUGGACUUGACGAGGUGGUGGUCACUACGUUGCGAACAGAUUUGAACUUAUAGACAAGAUGUCAAUAACAACAAUUAAACAAUAGGACAGAACCGCACAAUGAAAACUAACCACUACGAACAUUUUCAAUGGGGAACACUUGACUCUACAUGAUCGUAAGUUAUUAAAGUAAAUAAUAGAGCCAGGGUU